GAUGAAGAACGUAGCGAAAUGCGAUAAGUAGUGUGAAUUGCAGAAUUCAGUGAAUCAUCGAAUCUUUGAACGCACAUUGCGCCCCUUGGUAUUCCAUGGGGCAUGCCUGUUCGAGCGUCAUUUGUACCCUCAAGUUUUGCUUGGUGAUGGGUGUUUGUUCCGCUGCAACGCGUGAACUCGCCUCAAAUCAAUUGGCAGCCGGCAAUCUGGUGUUUGAGCGCAGCACAUUUUGCGCUCUUCGCUGUGUAUUGCGGGCGUCCAUGAAGCCUAUAUUUUCCCGCUUGACCUCGGAUCAGGUAGGGAUACCCGCUGAACUUAAGCAUAUCAAUAAGCGGAGGA
rnacentral:misc_RNA from 1 species